UAAGUAAAUUACAUCUAUAUAUAACCACUUCCAAAAAAUAAAACUAUAUGAUAGUAAAGUGAAGUAUGUAAAAUAUCCUUUGGUCUAAUGGCUAUUUUUGUUUUUCCAAAGAUAAUUUAUCUAUAACUAUUAAUAUUUCAAAAAGCUUUGCUAUCAAUGUCAACUGGUCGAGGGGGAUUCAGCAAGCUCAAAUGUUUUUUCUGAAUAAUAAAAAUGCCCAGAAUAGAAACUAGCAACAAAAGUCAACAGAGAGGGAGUGAUGGAAAGAGGGAAGCUAGGCAAAUUGCUUUAUAUUUUGCAUAACUGAAGAGCCAGAUGGCUUAACUGGAUUUUUAUUUUCAGAACCACCCACUGCAGGAUUUUAAGUAAGUUCUCAAGUCAAACACUGUAUUGCAAAACAGAGUUUAACAAUGUCUUGACCAGAGCCCACAACCUUAUCCAGGCAUUACCAGAUUCCUAUCCUUGUGAUGCAGCCAGAUCUGUCUUUUACUGGAAGAAGAAACCCUGGAGCCUGAGAUACUGUUAUGCCUAA
rnacentral:lncRNA from 1 species